CCGCGCUAGUCGGGGAGAUAGCGGUGCCCUGUCGCCUGCAACCCGCUACAGCAGGGGUGAAUCCCGACUUGCGGGCGCGCGGUGUGUUGUCUGCCCGCGGUAAGCGGUGUUGAAGAGUCGGUCUUGCGCAACGGAAAUUCGUGAAUCAUGUCAGGCGGGGAACCGAGCAGCAUUAAGCGAAGCCUUCCGUGUGCCGCGAGGUCGCCGGCUCGGAGCCGGCUGCCACGGUAACGGGCAUAUCACGCGUUCAAAAGUCGGUGCGCGG
rnacentral:SRP_RNA from 1 species